rnacentral:lncRNA from 1 species
CUUUCUUAUAGAAUCCUUCUCCUUAGAAGAUCCCUUUUUUGAAAGGAGAGUCAAACAGGAAAAGAUCCCCUUAAUUACAAGCCUCCAGAUUGGUGAUGAAGACAUAGCUUGGUCUCUCCCAAACCCUUCGUCCACCAUAUAUCUUUAACUCAUUCUCUUCUCACCAUGACACUUACAGGCUGGAAGUUGUGGGCUACUACACUCUGCUGGUGAAGCUGAGGUAAACUGGUUCUGUCCUGGAGCAAUGAUGCAGUUUGGGUAGUUGUGGUUGUAUGCAAUGAUUUUUAAUUAUUUUUUUUUUAAAUCACUGUAUGAUGAGAACACUGUAAUGUGGCUUGUGUGGGA